GACGCCUCCUCGACGCCUCCGUGAUGAAUCGACGAUGAUCUCUCCUCGUCCUUCUCCCUCUCCUCGACGAAAUCGACGAUGAUCUCUCCUCGUCCUUCUCCCUCUCCUCGACGCAUCCUCGACGAAAUCGACGAUGAUCUCUCCUCGUCUCUCUCUCUCUCUCCGCGAUGAUUCAUUCCGCGUCUCCGGUGUCGAUCUCCUUGAGGAUGAAAAUCCUCCAUCUCUCUCUCGACGGCACACCGCGAUGAAGAAUAACUUCACACCUCUCUCAGGCCCAGAGCUCUCCUCUACGAAAUCAAAAGAAAGAUUGACCGAGCAAGAGACAAAGAAGCAUUUGUUUACCUCGUCUGCAAUAGAGGUAAAACAUCAAGACGUUUUCAUGAAUGUUUGUUAAAAAUCUUUGGUUAUAUUCGUAGGCCGUUUAUACUUGACUUGAGAUAGUCUGAAUUGAAUCGAGUCUCAUGAAUGGUUCUUGUCUUAAUUGUUUAUGAGUUCUAUUACAUGAUUUAGCCUGUGGUCUGCAUUGAAUCGAGUCUCAUGAAUUGUUUAAGAGUUCUCAUUCUUGUUUUGUUUCUGUUUGUUUGUGUCUUGAGCCCCAUGGCUGAAGGGUUCGUUAAAGAAGGAGUGCAUUCGCUGGAGCAAAACAGGGAGGACCGUUUGCAAGCAGUUGAGUGCAUCCGGUGGAGCAAAACAGGGAGGACCGUUCACUGAAUGAGCUUCUUCACGGCAAUGUCACAGCGUCAGAGAGUGUUGUUGUAUUGUGUCACGAGUAUCUUGUAGGACAGUAUGAUUGUCACGAGUGUAGUACUUUGUAUCUUUUUCUUUUGUAAUAGUGUUAUGGACAGUAUGAUUGUUUCUAUAUAAUCAAAGUCUCACGGUUUCAAAGUCA